CGCGCAGGCGGCUUGUUAAGUCAGAUGUGAAAGCCCACGGCUUAACCGUGGAAGUGCAUUUGAAACUGGCAGGCUUGAGUACCAGAGGGGAAGGUGGAAUUCCCGGUGUAGAGGUGAAAUUCGUAGAUAUCGGGAGGAAUACCGGUGGCGAAGGCGACUUUCUGGCUGGAUACUGACGCUGAGGCGCGAAAGCGUGGGGAGCAAACA
rnacentral:rRNA from 1 species